GCUCUCGUGGUGAAACGGAUAUCACGCGACGCUUCGGACGUCGUAUUGGGGGUUCGAAUCCCUCCG
rnacentral:tRNA from 1 species